CUGGCGACCGGCAAACGGGUGCGGAACACGUACACAACCUUCCUUUAAGUGGGGAAUAGCCCGGGGAAACCCGGAUUAAUACCCCGUAAUAUAAUAGAGUGGCAUCGCUUUAUUAUUAUAGCUCCGGCGCUUGAAGAUGGGUGUGCGACUGAUUAGGCAGUUGGCGGGGUAACGGCCCACCAAACCUACGAUCAGUAACUGGUGUGAGAGCACGACCAGUCACACGGGCACUGAGACACGGGCCCG
rnacentral:rRNA from 1 species